rnacentral:rRNA from 1 species
GACGAACGCGGGCGGCGUGCGUAAUACAUGCAAGUAGAACGCUGAAGAGAGGAGCUUGCUCUUCUUGGAUGAGUUGCGAACGGGUGAGUAACGCGUAGGUAACCUGCCUUGUAGCGGGGGAUAACUAUUGGAAACGAUAGCUAAUACCGCAUAACAAUGGAUGACACAUGUCAUUUAUUUGAAAGGGGCAAUUGCUCCACUACAAGAUGGACCUGCGUUGUAUUAGCUAGUAGGUGAGGUAACGGCUCACCUAGGCGACGAUACAUAGCCGACCUGAGAGGGUGAUCGGCCACACUGGGACUGAGACACGGCCCAGACUCCUACGGGAGGCAGCAGUAGGGAAUCUUCGGCAAUGGGGGCAACCCUGACCGAGCAACGCCGCGUGAGUGAAGAAGGUUUUCGGAUCGUAAAGCUCUGUUGUAAGUCAAGAACGAGUGUGAGAGUGGAAAGUUCACACUGUGACGGUAGCUUACCAGAAAGGGACGGCUAACUACGUGCCAGCAGCCGCGGUAAUACGUAGGUCCCGAGCGUUGUCCGGAUUUAUUGGGCGUAAAGCGAGCGCAGGCGGUUUGAUAAGUCUGAAGUUAAAGGCUGUGGCUCAACCAUAGUUCGCUUUGGAAACUGUCAAACUUGAGUGCAGAAGGGGAGAGUGGAAUUCCAUGUGUAGCGGUGAAAUGCGUAGAUAUAUGGAGGAACACCGGUGGCGAAAGCGGCUCUCUGGUCUGUAACUGACGCUGAGGCUCGAAAGCGUGGGGAGCGAACAGG